UAAUUCAUAUUUGAAUCAUUUAUUCAAUCUAAAUAAGAUAUGCGUUUUGAGUUUAUUCAUGUAAAUAUAUACCAAGGCUUUGUGUUUUGCUUCAAAAGCUAGUAGAUACAAUAUAUGCAUAAGUGCAUUUCUUCUAACACGCAUAAACACUACUACAACUUUUGGCAAAUGGUACAAGUUAUUUGAUUGGAUGAUUCACUGUGACGAGAAAUCGUAUGAUUUCCCAGGGUGUCUUGAAACAACGACUUCGGAGAAAUAUUUGGAAUAGGUCGGAAAUCUUUAUGCCAAACUGGUGAACCAAACUCUGUUGAAAUGAAGAGUCUACCAACAACAAAGUAAGAACUUGUAUUGUAAAGAAAUCUGGUCAAAUGAUUUGACUCCAGAUGUGUCUACCUCCUACACUGAGCACAAGUACAAAACUAUACACCAUCAACGACAUACAGCUUGAAGAAUUGGUACAUGGACAAUAACAUCGUGCUGAUGAAAGGCGAAAAUUUCCUAUGGACAGAACAUAUUGUAUGGGACGUGGCUUUAAUGGAAGGUUUGGCACAUUGUAAUAUUAUUUAAACAAGAGAAAUAAUUAUAGUAACACCAUAUGUCUAUUUUUUUCGCAUCCUUUCGUGUUUUUAUCAUGUAUUUUAUUUUUAAAAUAUAGUUUAAAAUUCAGUUAACGCGGACAUUAAUUUAAAAGGACUCGCCUAUAUCGAUAAAGCUAAUUUGACUAUGCAAGUAGACCAAGCAUGCUGUGGGUUAAAUUUGCGAUAUGUCGGUUGAUCCAUGACCAAUAUGCUGUUCAAAAAUCAAGACAACUCAACAGAAUAUAAUGAGGUUUACACCUCACACUGUACUUAGGAUAAUCUUAAUCUUGAAACAGAGUAAUUAUAUUUUUCCGUAUGUGACUUCUAUGAGAAUAAAAAAUGAAUCAGAUUUGAAUCCCGGCAUGGACAGAGUCGGACAUUCAGGUUUUUUGGGUUUUUUUUUCAAAUACCGGUUAUCACUUAUCAGGGACAAUGCCUGGUGGUGUUGACAAGUAAUGUUCGUCUAAUAGGGACACAAAUAUGAGUUCUGGGAAGAUUAUGCGGAAAUGCUGCUUCCCGGGCAAAGUGCUCUUUUGCAUAUCAAGAUACAACUAAUAUUACUCUAAGUGUGUCUCAGAAAGUAUUGUGUUGAACACUAUUACAUUUCUUCUUUCUGCGAGGAAGAUUUGGCCAGGGCAGUGGCGUUUCCACUUACAUCCCAACAAACUCCAUAAAGAUGCAUAAAAGUAUUCAUUUUCUACAAGGUUGUUUCAAAUUCCUUUAAGUUAGAAUGACUGUUGGGUGUAUAGCUUAUAGUAUAACAAAGAUGUUAUUAUAUAAAAUGAUUGUACGGUGAUGUUUUACAAUGAUAAAACGUACGGAGAUUGUUUAUUUUAUGAAUAAAGUUUGAUGUUCAGUCUAA